CUGGAUUAAUGAUGAGCUGUGUUUACUGAGCAUAAUGAAAUGACGCUCAAAAUAAUUACUCUGAAGUCUAGCCAAAGUGUCAGUUUAAGGACUUAUGUAACAAAACUUAAGUUCUUAAAAUAUGAUACAAGAUUUUCUCAAGGAGACUGGAGCUGUAGAUCUUUACAUAUAGCAAGUUUUAAAUGUGUUUCAUGUUAUGUGUAAAGUGCCUUUGUGUUUCUAAUACAAUAAGUUUCACCUUCUUUUCUAUAUUAGAACUCAGAAGCUAGUGUACUUCCCAGUUAUCCAAUAAGUACCCUGUGUGAUAGUUCCCUGAGCAUGUUCCUAGUCAUUUUGACUGUAUUGUUACUAAUAUAUGCAUUGACCUUUUUUUGUUGAAGGUAGGAAUUUUAUGAUUUUCCCACAUGCUGAGGACAAUUAGAGAGGAUAAUCUUUCUUUACUAUCAUAAAGCAUUGAUGGAGUGGUGGCUGUGUAAUUGCCAAUACUGAUAUGAGAAAUAUGUGUAAUAAUUGAAGAUUUCUGCAAGUGAAUUAAUGUAAACUGUACAUGCUUGGAAAUUGUCACGAUACCAUCUAGAAUGAGCAUUUUUAAGCAAACAGAAAACAUGUUCAGGAAGAAUGUUAAAAUUCUAAUACUUGUAAAUAGAAGAUGACAUUUCACUGCCUUUGUGCUUCAUGAGUGCUUUUGAAAUAACCAUCAAAACAAGAAGAAAAUAUUGAAAAGGCAAUUUGUGCCAAUACUUUUGUCAACCUCCUGGGAGUACUGGACUGCCUAUCCAAGUCUAUAUGCCUUUAUGGUUUUUCAAUUUGUGAAGAAUGUAAGAAACUUCAGAGUCUUAUCAGCAAAGUGUAGUACAUUAUCUAACAGAAAAGAGAAGAUAAAGUUUUUGGUGCUCAUGAUGACGUACUAGCCCUAACCUGAGUACAGCUGAUGGAAGUGUAAGAAAAUAUACAUUCCUGAAAACUCGAAGUGGUUAUCAAAUCUUGGUUCUACAGCUGACAUAAUGAUCUGAAAGGUUGCAGAGAGUAAACACUCUUGUGAAUCAUCAUAAUAGAGCUCAGAUAUUUGAAUAGAGACUGGAAUUUUGAUUUGAAGACAAUUUAUAAAUAUUUUCUGAUUGUUAAUUUGGAAUUAACUCAAGAAGUAGAGACACUACUACAUGGAUAAUGAUUGAAUUGACAUUGGCAUCGUCUCAAUGUUUUCAUAAGUAUGAAGUAUAUUUCAUGAUACUUUUAAAGUUAAUUAUAGAGAUUGUUUUCAAUGAUUUUCUAUUUAUUAAAGGGUUUAAGUAAUGCGUAGCAUAUUCUGAUUUGAGUGGUGACAUUAUAGAAAUAUACCAUUUACAGUUAGAACUGUAUGGUGCUUUACUUUUAUAGUGCAUUCCAAACUUGGGGUUUUCUGGUACAUACAGUUUUAGCUUAUUUUUAAAUAAUUCCAUCUUUUUAUCGGUCAAGAUAAUAGCUUCAAAGUUACAUGUCAAAUUUCUUUUACUUUGAAAUGCAUUGGCUAUGUAUACAAGGUCGACAUUUGAUUAAAUGCCUUAGCAUUUACCAGGACUAUCAUUUAUAUAUUUAUGUAUGUAUUUAUGUAUGUAUUUAUGUAUUCACUAUUAAAGUAUUAAAUCAUUACAUUACUCAUUUCAUUGUCUUGUUUGAGUUUCCAUGCUGAGUAUCUACAUUUGUGCAUUUGUAAUCGAGUCUGCAUGUCAUGUAUGUCACAUGAAACAUUAUGUGUUUUAUUAAUAGGUUGUACAUAAAUUAUGCAUUAAAUAUGUGUUCUCUUAUGCCAUAGUUUUGUGUUUUUCUUUUGCAAGCAUCUUUUUGUUCAUAUCAUACUUACCUGUCUUAUCACCCUCGUUUUUAU
ensembl:lncRNA